UUAAAUUGAAGAGUUUGAUCAUGGCUCAGAUUGAACGCUGGCGGCAGGCCUAACACAUGCAAGUCGAACGGUAACAGGAAGCAGCUUGCUGCUUCGCUGACGAGUGGCGGACGGGUGAGUAAUGUCUGGGAAACUGCCUGAUGGAGGGGGAUAACUACUGGAAACGGUGGCUAAUACCGCAUAACGUCGCAAGACCAAAGAGGGGGACCUUCGGGCCUCUUGCCAUCAGAUGUGCCCAGAUGGGAUUAGCUUGUUGGUGAGGUAACGGCUCACCAAGGCGACGAUCCCUAGCUGGUCUGAGAGGAUGACCAGCCACACUGGAACUGAGACACGGUCCAGACUCC
rnacentral:rRNA from 1 species